CCUACGGUGUGCAGCAGUGAGGAAUAUUGGUCAAUGGGCUUACGCCUGAACCAGCCAAGUCGCGUGAGGGAAGACUGCCCUAUGGGUUGUAAACCUCUUUUGUCAGGGAGCAACGCCGGCUACGUGUAGCCGGACUGAGAGUACCUGAAGAAAAAGCAUCGGCUAACUCCGUGCCAGCAGCCGCGGUAAUACGUAGGUGGCAAGCGUUAUCCGGAAUGAUUGGGCGUAAAGGGUGCGUAGGCGGCAAAAUAAGUCUGAAGUAAAAGGCGUUGGCUCAACCAACGUAAGCUUUGGAAACUGUUGAGCUAGCGUGCAGGAGAGGUUAGUGGAAUUCCAUGUGUAGCGGUAAAAUGCGUAGAUAUAUGGAGGAACACCAGUGGCGAAGGCGGCUAACUGGCCUGUAACGGACGCUGAGGCACGAAAGCGUGGGGAGCAAAUAGGAUUAGAUACCCUGGUAGUC
rnacentral:rRNA from 1 species